GACGAACGCUGGCGGCGUGCUUAACACAUGCAAGUCGAACGAUGAGCCCGGAGCUUGCUCCGGUGGAUUAGUGGCGAACGGGUGAGUAACACGUGAGUAACCUGCCCUUGACUCUGGGAUAACUGCGGGAAACUGUAGCUAAUACCGGAUACGACCCUCGGCGGCAUCGCCAGGGGGUGGAAAGAAUUUCGGUCAAGGAUGGACUCGCGGACUAUCAACUAGUUGGUGAGGUAACGGCUCACCAAGGCGACGACGGGUAGCCGGCCUGAGAGGGUGACCGGCCACACUGGGACUGAGACACGGCCCAGACUCCUACGGGAGGCAGCAGUGGGGAAUAUUGCACAAUGGGCGCAAGCCUGAUGCAGCAACGCCGCGUGAGGGAUGACGGCCUUCGGGUUGUAAACCGCUUUUGCUCGGGAGCAAUUUCUGAGUGUACCGAGCGAAUAAGAGGUUGCUAACUCUGUGCCAGCCGCCGCCGUAA
rnacentral:rRNA from 1 species